rnacentral:rRNA from 1 species
AUUAGCGGAUGACCUGUGGCUGGGGGUGAAAGGCCAAUCAAACCGGGAGAUAGCUGGUUCUCCCCGAAAGCUAUUUAGGUAGCGCCUCGUGAAUUCAUCUCCGGGGGUAGAGCACUGUUUCGGCUAGGGGGCCAUCCCGGCUUACCAACCCGAUGCAAACUGCGAAUACCGGAGAAUGUUAUCACGGGAGACACACGGCGGGUGCUAACGUCCGUCGUGAAGAGGGAAACAACCCAGACCGCCAGCUAAGGUCCCAAAGUCAUGGUUAAGUGGGAAACGAUGUGGGAAGGCCCAGACAGCCAGGAUGUUGGCUUAGAAGCAGCCAUCAUUUAAAGAAAGCGUAAUAGCUCACUGGUCGAGUCGGCCUGCGCGGAAGAUGUAACGGGGCUAAACCAUG